CCCCUCGUUCAUAGUCAUAUUUCUAUGGUUCAGACAUUGGAGUGAGUUUUGAUACCUAAAACCAAACGAGGGGGUUGGCGGCUAAAAAGAAAAAAGGAAGAAGGAAAAUGGAAAACAGAAUCGCCCAACAAUUGGGCAAUGGGCCUCAUGCCAUUAACGAAGAAAAAUGAGAAAAAGCCAAAAAAAGUUGAAAUCGCGGGGAUUUGUUGAAUUACAGCCGCCCAUCCCUUCAAAUUACAGCAGUCUAAGAAGCAAAUGAUACAGUUUAAGGUGUUUACACGGGGUAGACUGUUGAUAACUGAUGUCGUUGUUCCUCAGUUGUAAUUUCCUCAAUCAGCAGAAACCGAACCAACCAAUGGCCAUAGAAAGAAGAAGCGCACUAGGAGAAGAAGAAAACAAGAAAUGGAGGCUUAGCAGCAGAACGUGAUUCUCUAUUUUCCCCAAAAGAGAAAAGAAAAGAAAUAUGAGGGGAAAAAAAAAUGCAGGCAGUCUAAUGUUUGCCAAAAGAAAAAAAUAAAGAAAGGAAUUAGAAGAAAGAAGAAUUCUGUGAAGAUCUCUCUUUCCUGCACUUCUUCAGACUGAGAUCGUUGAUGAUCUUCUCAAGUUGUUUGUUCUCUAUUGUCUUCUCAGUUCUCAUUGAGUAUGUCUCUUUUGCUCCUUCAGAAGAUUUCCUUUUUCUUUCCUGGAUCCUAAUACCCCUCCCCCUCCAACCCCCCUUUUUUGGCUUGAAAGAUGCGCAUGCUAAAGGCCUUGUGCCUUAACCCAGGUGUGCGCUUGUUAAUCGCUUUUAUGCAGCACCUCAACUGAAGUCUGGUGAGGCGCCAAUUCUGCUCUGUCGGUUGCCUCAGCACCUGAAGCUUGGCUUUGGUUUUGUUGGAGGCAUGUUGAAAAUGUUCAUAAGUGUUAAGUUCUAAUUUAGCGACGUCCUAUAUUGAACGAAUUGUAUUUUGUUUGAGACCUAUAAAUAUGUUUAUUCAUCAAAUUAUCUUGUCAUCAAUACACGUCUUUUCUUAUUCUUCACAAAUAGUUUAGAUAUACAUGUUGUGCUACUGGAACUUGUUUUCAUGACCAUAUUCCAUAGGGGUUUAGUAGUAUAGGUGCAAUGUUUUAUUGAAUAGGCUUCGUAAGUUUCUAUUUUGUUCAUUCGGACAUGUUCCCCUGUA